GGGGCUUCCGGUGCACUCUGGGCGGCUAUUGGUCUUCACCCAGAAUCUACUCCAGUACCGGGUGGAAGGCUCCGGCGGGCGGCGGCAGAGCCAGGUGCUCGGAGGGAGAAGGUCCGAGUCCUUACCCGCUCAGCUCGCACGUGGGAGUGAAAUUCGCUGAGGCCACCGGGUUCCCCACGUCCCUGACGGAACCGAGACCCUUUACUGCCCCUCCCACCGCACCUGCUUCUUACCGCCCCGCCGGCCUCUCCGGCCUCGAUCCGCGCACAGCGUGCAAUGGCAAUGGCCUUGCUCAGGGGCUCAGCUGAGGUUGGCGUGACCUUUGAGGACAUUGCCCUGCACUUCUCCAGGAAGGAAUGGAGCCUCCUUGAUGAGGAUCAGAGACAGCUGUACCUGAAUGUGAUGCUGGAGAACUUUGAACUUGUAUCCUCGCAGGCGUUGAUCAUCCAUCUUUUCUGAUUUUCUUUGAAGAUUCGCAUCAUUUAUGCCAUGCAAUUGUUCAAAUGGGAUUUAAGGGGAAGAAUCAUUCGUGCAUCACAGAAGAAACGUUGCUGCUGUGGAGCAGAGAAUGUGGAGGCCCCGACUGAACAGAAGGUUUCAGUAAGAGUGUCACAGGCCAGGAAUCCCAAGGCAGCCUUGUCUUCCCAGAAGAGCCACCCCUGUGAGAGUUGUGGGCUCGUCUUGAGAAACAUUUCCCACUUGACUGAGCUGCAGGGAACACAACACGGACAGAUACUGUUGAGAUGUGGCACGUGUGCAAAACGGUUUUACUUCAGUGUAAAAGUUCACCAACAACAUGUGAGAGAGAAGACUUUCAUUAGCGGUGUGGACUGGAUCUCACUUGCAAACAGCUGCGAUUUCAAAGUGUCCCAGAAUCAUUUCACAUGCGGGGAGGUUGGGCAGGGUGUCCUUACCAGGUCAGGACAUCUCCACCUAAAGGCUACUCUCACCAGGGACAUUCCAACUGCUAUUCCGACGUGCGGUAUGAUGUUUCAAAGGAGACAAAAUUAUUACACCAGAAAAGAAUAUAAAGACAUUAGUUGCACUCACAUGUUUAUUCAGCAAAAGGGUGUCCAUGUUGGACGUCAGGGUUUUGUGAACUCUGAAUGUGGAAAACAUUUUACCAAAUAUUCUAGCUUUCAUGAUCAACAGCGAG